rnacentral:lncRNA from 1 species
AGGGGAUCAAGCCUAAGGCCAAGGUUCAAAGUCCAUGAAGUGGUCAUGGGGUUUCUAGGGCUAGUUUGGGUUCUAGGAUGAAAGGCUGCCCACCUUUCAGAUCUUGAAGUCCAAAAAUUUUGGGCCUUGAGGGGCUAACUUAUAUUUGUACUAGGAUUGAGUCUAAUAUUAUGAGACUGGGUCAAGUCAUGGGUGUACAUGGGCUUGGAUGAGCACAAUCUUGUAUUGAGUUAGCCAGGAGAG